rnacentral:rRNA from 1 species
CGUUCCCGGGCCUUGUACACACCGCCCGUCACGUCACGAAAGUCAGCAACACCCGAAGCCCGUGGCCCAACCCGCAAGGGAGGGAGCGGUCGAAGGUGGGGCCGGCGAUUGGGACG